GCUGAAGGCAGUCGCUUAACCGACUGAGCCACCCAGGCGCCCUGACCUGUUAGUAUUUUAAGAACCAAAAUUUCUCAUGAUUCAAGACUACGUGGAAGACAGGAGGAGUCCCAUUUUCAUGACUGAUCUUACAGUUAGGGUCUCUCCUGGGAAAACCAUCAAACAUGCACCACUAUAGUAUUUUAAAGCAUUUCCCCAGAGUUAGAAUGUUAGUUUUACUGAUGGAGUUUCAACUAAAGUUUAUGACAAAUGCAUGGGACAACAUUUUGCUGGAGAUAAGGGACAGUCUAGUAGGAUGGGAAUAGAUUGGGUUCUUUAGUGUUUGCUUUCUUAAAUAGUGAUUUGAGGUCAACUUCUGAACUGAACUUGGGUUCUUUUUUACCAUGUUUGUGGCUGUAGCUGUUUGUUGUUGUUAUAAUUAUUUCUGCCCGACUUGCUCUCUGAUGGGAAUUAUUUCACUUUCUUUCUAUUUGAUUUUGUUGUGCCUUAGUUUCCUCAGAGGAAGAUCAGAGUUUUGAUUACUGCGUAGUGAGCACUCAACAAAAAACGUAGCAAGAAUGUAAGAACGGUGAUCCGGGAGGGCUGGCCUCUUCCGCUUUCUCAGAUACUGAAUCCCCCAGUGGGCCCAUUGAAAUCAACGCAUCCUUCUCCUUGGCCCAGCCUCCAAGUCACCUAGAAGCUCCUUCCUUGUCUUGCUGCCUGGCCCCAGUCUCCAUGACAACCCCAUGAAGCAAGCACCACUUCUAGGCCCAUUUCAUGGAUGAAGAAGUGAGGUGUAAACAUAAGUUAUCUGUCAACUUCACACAACUGGGAAUUUGUCAAAUUAAGAUCCAAAAUAUAAUUUUUUUUGGACUCCUUGUGAUAACCUCACUAUAUUAUCCUUGGAAUCAACCACAGACCUGUCUAUCUAUCUAUCUAUCUAUCUAUCUAUCUAUCUAUCUAUCUAUCUAUCUAUCAUCUUUCUAUCAUCUAUCUAUCUAUCUAUCUACCUAUCUAUCUAUCUACCUAUCAUCUAUCUAUCUAUCUAUCAUUUUUUGGGAGAAGAAUCCACUUUUUACUUCCCUGAAGCCUUGAGAUCACCUGGGACUGAGAAUAGAAGGGUAACUUCCAGAGCUGGCUAAGCAGAGGGAUUGUGGGCAGCCUGAUCCCAGGUCCUCUCCUUGCCAGAAAUCCCUGCACAACUGAAUCUGGGGCAAGGUUAUCCCUUUCCUGAUCUACCAGUUAAGACCCUGAGAUCUACCAA